CAGGGUGACCAACUGUGCCAUUUUGCCUGGGACUGAGAAGUUUCCCAGGACAUCAGACUUGCAAUACUAAAACUGGGACAGUCCUGGGCAAUCUGGGAUGGCUGGUCACCCUAGUUGGAA
rnacentral:pre_miRNA from 1 species